CGUCCAGACUCCUACGGGAGGCAGCAGUGGGGAAUAUUGCACAAUGGGCGAAAGCCUGAUGCAGCAACGCCGCGUGAAGGAAGACGGUUUUCGGAUUGUAAACUUCUGUUCUUAGUGAAGAAUAAUGACGGUAACUAAGGAGCAAGCCACGGCUAACUACGUGCCAGCAGCCGCGGUAAUACGUAGGGAGCAAGCGUUGUCCGGAAUUACUGGGCGUAAAGGGCGCGUAGGUGGGCGCUUAAGUCAGGUGUGAAAACUCCGGGCUCAACCUGGAGACUGCACUUGAAACUGGGUGUCUUGAGGGCAGGAGAGGAAAGUGGAAUUCCUAGUGUAGCGGUGAAAUGCGUAGAUAUUAGGAGGAACACCAGUGGCGAAGGCGACUUUCUGGACUGUACCUGACGCUGAGGCGCGAAAGCGUGGGUAGCGAACGGGAUUAGAUACCCUCGUAA
rnacentral:rRNA from 1 species